CAGCCGCCACGGGAAUACGUAGGGUGCGAGCGUUGUCCGGAAUUAUUGGGCGUAAAGAGCUUGUAGGUGGUUUGUCGCGUCUGCUGUGAAAAUCCGAGGCUCAACCUCGGACUUGCAGUGGGUACGGGCAGACUAGAGUGUGGUAGGGGAGACUGGAAUUCCUGGUGUAGCGGUGGAAUGCGCAGAUAUCAGGAGGAACACCGAUGGCGAAGGCAGGUCUCUGGGCCAUUACUGACACUGAGAAGCGAAAGCAUGGGGAGCGAACAGGAUUAGAUACCCCCGUAGUCCCUGUCUCUUAUAC
rnacentral:rRNA from 1 species